AUACGGAGGGUGCAAGCGUUAUCCGGAUUUAUUGGGUUUAAAGGGUGCGUAGGCGGUUUGAUAAGUCAGCGGUGAAAUAUUUCAGCUUAACUGGAAGGGUGCCGUUGAUACUGUCGAGCUUGAAUUUAGUUGCUGUGGGUGGAAUGUGUGGUGUAGCGGUGAAAUGCAUAGAUAUCACACAGAAUAUCGAUUGCGAAGGCAGCUCACAAAGCUAAUAUUGACGCUGAUGCACGAAAGUGUGGGGAUCAAACAGGAUUAGAUACCCUGGUAGUCCACACUGUAAACGAUGAUAACUCGCUGUCGGCGAUACACCGAUCAGUAGCGAAGCGAAAGCGUUAAGUUGUCCACCUGGGGAGUACGACCGCAAGGUUGAAACUCAAAUGAAUUGACGGGG
rnacentral:rRNA from 1 species